CGUAGGAACACCUAGAGAGAGGAUUUGGUGGUGGGCUUCGCCUAGAAGCCAGCUGACCUGGCAUGGAGCUGGGUUUCUGAGCCCAAGGGGAAGGUUGGGAGGGAGGGCUCAAGCCACUAGGGGCCCAGAGGCAGCACACGAUGGCCAGGGGCUUGACCCUGCUCAGCUCCACUGUUCUGUGCUAGACACAGGGAGCCUAGGUCCUCCAACUUGUGUGCAUGGCAGCAUCACCAAGGCACUCGCUACCCAGGUUUCCAGACCCCACCCCCGCUGUUCUGGUCCAGAAUGCCUGGGGUGGGCCUGAGAACCUGCAUUUGCAACAAGGGUCCCAGUCGGCUGCAGAUCACAUGGACUCCGGAGCCAGACUGCCUGGUUGGAAUCUUGCCUCUGCUUCCUCGCCAGGCAACCUUGGGAAGGAAGUAGAUGAGGAUGGCGACUGAAGAGAUGAGGACACAGGGUGCAAUGAUGUUGAUGACAUAGAAGAGGGGUUUGCGCUGGAUCAGCAGGUAGAAGACGACCUUCUGGUGGCCUGCCUCCUCCUCUGGUGCCUCCACGUCUAGCAGCAUCUUGGCAGGCCGGUGCCGGAUGGCCCACUCCCCAUUCUCUGCGGGAAGCAGGCCAGGGUGGGUGCAGAGAGGGAAACCCCCAUCCCCUAGCUGCAGGGUGGCCAGCGCAGGCCCAAAGGAGCACCAUCCAAGGAGCCUGGAUACAUGAUUCCCCUCCCACCCAAACUGGGAGAGAAGAACUGUGUUGAGCCUUUAAAGAUAAUUUUUUAUGG